CUGGCUCUGUCAGGGUCCGAGUUGUAAUUUGUAGAAGAUGCUUCGGGUGUGGCUCCGGUCUAAGUUCCUUGGAACAGGACGUCAUAGAGGGUGAGAAUCCCGUAUGUGACUGGCUGCCUUCGCCUAUGUGAAGCUCUUUCGACGAGUCGAGUUGUUUGGG
rnacentral:rRNA from 1 species